GCUGGGAUGGUUUAGUCGGUCAAGCAUGAGGCUCUUAAUCUCAGGGUUGUGGGUUUAAGCCCCACAUUGGGCA